rfam:Elusimicrobia bacterium RIFOXYA2_FTLL_53_38 rifoxya2_full_scaffold_480, whole genome shotgun sequence.
UUAAUGGAGAGUUUGAUCCUGGCUCAGAGUUAACGCUGGCGGCGUGCCUAACACAUGCAAGUCGAACGGAGCGUACCAGAAUAUCGGGCGCUUAGUGG